GGAGGGUGCAAGCGUUGUUCGGAAUUAUUGGGCGUAAAGAGCGUGUAGGCGGUCCGGUAAGUCAGAUGUGAAAGCCCUGGGCUCAACCCAGGAAGUGCAUUUGAAACUACCAGACUUGAGUACGGGAGAGGAGGGGGGAAUUCCCGGUGUAGAGGUGAAAUUCGUAGAUAUCGGGAGGAAUACCAGUGGCGAAGGCGCCCCUCUGGACCGAUACUGACGCUGAGACGCGAAAGCGUGGGGAGCAAACAGGAUUAGAUACCCUGGGUAGUCCACGCCGUAAACGAUGAGCACUAGGUGUAGCGGGUAUUGACCCCCCUGCUGUGCCGUAGCUAACGCAUUAAGUGCUCCGCCUGGGGACUACGGUCGCAAGCUA
rnacentral:rRNA from 1 species